rnacentral:tRNA from 1 species
GCCCCCGUGGCGGAAUGGUAGACGCAGUGGACUUAAAAUCCAUCGCUUCGGCAUGCGGGUUCGAGUCCCGCCGGGGGCACCG